rnacentral:sRNA from 17 species
AUGUACCACUCGGGCACUGCGCUUCUGCGCCAUCCGCGCGUACCUGAUGACUGUUCGCUCCGUUGUGGUAACA